GAGUGUUUCUAGAGCUCGGAGGCUGCUGGUAGGGGGGCACCACUUUCAGAUAAAAACAUAGACCUGAAUGGCAUCAUCCAGUAUCCAAGGAAACCAUUGUGUCUGUAACCAGCUAAUGAGCUGCAACAGAGCCUGGCCUUCAUUUUCAGCAAAUUAAGUUCAUCCCUCAUAGGAAUUGUGGUCUGGCUGUGGCACCGCUCCUAGGUGAACAACAAAGAAGACUUGGAAACUCAGUGAUCAGGGAUUGGAAAUGAUGGUGAUGGUAAGUGGAAUAUCAUUGAUGCUGAACAUUCAAACCUCACUGAUGUCAGAAAAGACAUGACAAACUCCAAAAGGAAACCCAAGCAGCUAUUUGGCUCCCUUAAUUAAUGAAGUCGCCCAGUAUGGAUAAUUCAGUGGGCCUGGUCAGAUAGAGGUGAAAAUUAAGUUACAGUAACAUGAAAAGUAUACCUAGAAAAUCAUGUGAAUUCUUUAAUGAAGGUUCUGCAUUUACUUUACUUGAAGAAAUAUUUCCUUCGUGGUACAGACUGAAAAUCAGAAGUAUUGAAUUAAAUAUUUGUAAAAGAAUAGUGAAUUAUCCACUGUUGCAUUGCAUUAUAUAUCUUAGUCUUGGUAUUCUAUUCUAAUUACAAGGUAAAAUUUCUCCCAAAUUCCAAGUUUACAUUACAAAUAAAACACAUAUAAUGGCCACAACUCCUAAAAUAUUCUCCGAAAUUAUGGGCACAUUUAUUCAUGUUAACAUGAGGUUUGCAUUUUAAUGUAGAGGAUGGCGCUGUGGAUUGCUUUUGCGAAUAAUUUCAUUUAAGGACAGUUUGACUUUGUAAGAACAGAUAAAACCAAAGCCAAUUAUGACAUGAACUCUUCUCUCCUGUAUGCAUGGAACAGCAUAAAUAGAGAAGCUUGUUCUUUACUGCACUUGUCAAAUCUUAAUGUUUAAAAGUCUUAAAAUUCAAAUAUAUAUUUAUAUCAAUAAAAAUUAUACAUAAUGGA
rnacentral:lncRNA from 1 species